rfam:Myotis lucifugus cont2.48698, whole genome shotgun sequence.
GGUGGUUCUUGGGUGAUGCACCCCAGAAUCCGGCUCCCUCCUCUCUGGUUCUGGGUGCGUCACCUGAGAACUGCA